rnacentral:rRNA from 1 species
UACGGGGGGGGCAAGCGUUGUUCGGAAUUACUGGGCGUAAAGGGCUCGUAGGCGGCCAACUAAGUCGGAUGUGAAAGCCCCGGGCUCAACCUGGGAACUGCAUUUGAGACUGAAGGACUAGAGUUCGGGAGAGGAUGGUGGAAUUCCCAGUGUAGAGGUGAAAUUCGUAGAUAUUGGGAAGAACACCGGUGGCGAAGGCGGCCAUCUGGACCGAUACUGACGCUGAGGCGCGAAAGCGUGGGGAGCAAACAGG